GACGAACGCUGGCGGCGUGCUUAACACAUGCAAGUCGAGCGGUAAGGCCCUUUCGGGGGUACACGAGCGGCGAACGGGUGAGUAACACGUGGGUGACCUGCCCUCAGCUCUGGGAUAAGCCUGGGAAACCGGGUCUAAUACUGGAUAUGACUCCAUGACGCAUGUUGUGGGGUGGAAAGCCUUGUGCGGCUGAGGAUGGGCCCGCGGCCUAUCAGCUUGUUGGUGGGGUGAGGCCUACCAAGGCGACGACGGGUAGCCGGCCUGAGAGGGCGACCGGCCACACUGGGACUGAGACACGGCCCAGACUCCUACGGGAGGCAGCAGUGGGGAAUCUUGCGCAAUGGGCGAAAGCCCUGACGCAGCGACGCCGCGUGAGGGAUGACGGCCUC
rnacentral:rRNA from 1 species